AUGAAGAGAUCUGAACCAUUGAAUCUUGAAGUCUGUUAUGGAUGGAUGGUAGAGAUGAACUCGGUUAAGAGGUUUUGGGGCCUGUUCCUGAUCUGUGUUGGGCUGGUUCUAGAGCAUGUUUACGGGCUGCUAAACUAUUUUUCUGAUUGGAUUUGUGUACCGGUUUUCUGCAGCCUGCAUUGGAACUGGUUCAUGGAAUGA